UGGUGUUGGGUAUAAAAUGCCCAUAGCCGAAGUCCUCAGUGGAAUCGACUACACGACAACUUCGCCCGGGCUCCUACGGGAGCCAGGCUCCGUCACCAAGAACUCCAACAACUUCAGCCGCAAGCAGACUCCGCCCGGACUCCUACGGGAGCCGGGCUCCGCCGCCGACAUCGACUACAGGAUAGCUCCACCCGGACUCCUACGGGAGCCGGGCUCC
rnacentral:lncRNA from 1 species